rnacentral:rRNA from 1 species
GGGUGAGUAACGCGUGGGAACAUACCUUUCGGUACGGAACAACAGUUGGAAACGACUGCUAAUACCGUAUACGCCCUGAGGGGGAAAGAUUUAUCGCCGAGAGAUUGGCCCGCGUUGGAUUAGCUAGUUGGUGGGGUAAUGGCCUACCAAGGCGACGAUCCAUAGCUGGUCUGAGAGGAUGAUCAGCCACACUGGGACUGAGACACGGCCCAGACUCCUACGGGAGGCAGCAGUGGGGAAUAUUGGACAAUGGGCGCAAGCCUGAUCCAGCCAUGCCGCGUGAGUGAUGAAGGCCUUAGGGUUGUAAAGCUCUUUCGCCGGUGAAGAUAAUGACGGUAACCGGUAAAGAAGCCCCGGCUAACUUCGUGCCAGCAGCCGCGGUAAUACGAAGGGGGCUAGCGUUGUUCGGAAUUACUGGGCGUAAAGCGCACGUAGGCUGACUUUUAAGUCAGGGGUGAAAUCCCGGGGCUCAACCUCGGAACUGCCUUUGAUACUGGAAGUCUUGAGUCCGAGAGAGGUGAGUGGAACUCCGAGUGUAGAGGUGAAAUUCGUAGAUAUUCGGAAGAACACCAGUGGCGAAGGCGGCUCACUGGCUCGGUACUGACGCUGAGGU